GUCCUGCGGUCCUGGCCAACGCUCUUGGAGCGAGGGACAUAUUGUGUUCAUGGUGAAAUAUUCACAGGAGAUCACAGAAGGAAUAUUACACCACAACAGCGGCAGUUUAGAGAACUUGGACACUAGAGAGCGAGGCUAUAUAACUGGGCACCGGAACAUGUGGUUGAAGUCUCCUCUGGUGUGUUGUGGAAGGUCUCGCUGACAGAGACUGUUGACUUUUGGGACAUUGUGGAAUACUUGAGGCUGUACGACGCUGUCAUCUCGCUGGAGGGUGUUGACCCGGUGUGUGUACGGAGAGGAUGAAGAGUGUGGCGGCGGUGUUGGUGUUGUGGGUGGCGGUGUGGGCGGCCGCGGGCGUGGAGGACACGCACCAGGAACACCAGCAGCUCCACACCAGAGUAAAGAGGCAGUUUGGCUUCAACCGUGGACACGGAGGCAACCCGCACCGCAAUAAUUUCCCUGGACAUGGAGGCUUCACUCCGCCUGGGCACCUUGGUGGACACCACGGACACGUCAACAACAGGCGCCCCGGGACUGAUGGCAGACCCAAACCACUAGUACAGGCCGAAGGCCAUAACCUCAACAACCAGCUCUCGUGGUUCAAGGAUGUCGUCAGUGGAACUAAUAACAACCAAAUUUCUUUGGAGGGUCUGCCAAGAGUUCCAUUAAGGCAGGCACAGAACACCUUCUUCCAGCUGGGCAUUGGCCAGCCGGACAUACCGUUCCAGCAGUGCCGGACCCCACGGGGCGAGCGGGGUCAGUGCCGCUUCCUGCAGUACUGCAUCCAGCCCCAGUUUGCCAACAACUUCCAGGUGUUCCUGCAGUAUGUGUGCUUCAUCCAGGGCGUGUACGUGGGUGCCUGCUGUCCCACUACCAUCAACAGCGAGGGGGUGACGGCGCCCCCACCACCGCCCCCUACCCCCGCCCCCACACCUCGCCCCACCACCCCUCCAAGCGAGGCUAGAGGUAACUUUUUGACACACUGUACUCCCCUUCAUAUAGUCUAGGGCAGCUGCACAAAUGCAGAUGUACCUAAAUGUGUUAAUAAAAAAAGGCCGUGGGUGGCCGCCCUCCUGAGGCAGGGCAGCAGUCAAUACUGUGGGGGAGUCCUGAUUACCGACCAGCACGUCCUGACUGCUGCCCACUGUGUCCGCGGAUUUGACCAUAAGACGAUCUCUGUCCGUCUGGGAGAAUAUAACUUUAAUCAGAGCAGCGCAGGAGCCCAGACCUUCGGGGUGCUGAAGAUCAAGGAGCAUGAGGCCUACGACACCACCACCUACGUCAACGAUCUCGCGCUCAUCACCCUAGAGAAGAGCACAGAGUUCAACGCUGACAUCUGGCCCAUCUGUCUGCCGGAGGGUGACGAGACAUACGUUGACAGGCAGGCUACCGUCGUCGGCUGGGGGACCAUCUACUACGGGGGUCCGGUGUCCAGCGUGCUGAUGGAGGUGUCUAUUCCCAUCUGGACCAACAGUGACUGUGAUAACGCCUACGAGCAGGACAUUAUUGACAAGCAGCUCUGUGCCGGGGACAAGGCUGGGGGCAAGGAUUCCUGUCAGGGAGACAGUGGUGGGCCGCUCAUGUUGCAGCAGGGAGGUGCCAACAGGUGGGCCGUGGUGGGUGUAGUGUCCUGGGGUAUACGCUGUGCUGAGGCUGCCAGCCCCGGAGUUUACACCAGAGUCAGCAAGUAUACCGACUGGAUCAGAGCAAACCAAUAGAGACCCCCCACAUCUUCCACUAUGGCUAACAAACGAGAACUUCCAGUGAAAACCAUCCACCAGAGGGAGCUUCCAUGAGCCACUCAACAUCCUUCACCAACUCUCUUCAAGACCUCAUCCAAACCUAAAUAAACUGUAAUAAUUUAGCACUAUCAAACAAUACUGGGCAAAACAUAUAUUAAAGUCAUCUCCUUUAUUGUUGCAAGUGAUAUAAGGUUUCCAGGACAUAAUGCUUCUUUCUGAGGCACAUAAGAAAAGAAAAAAGAUGCAAGUAAAACGAUUAAUUAUGAUUAGAAGAGUUUGCCCUAACACAGGAAAUAUACAACACAGAGAAUGGCGCAGGCGACCAAGGACCUUUCAUCCAAGCAACCACCUCUGGGUCCUGUAGCGCAGUAGUCUAAGUCCUCGACUCAGAUCGAGAGACCCGAAUUCAACUCUCCUUAAAGAAUAAAAACAUUUGGGCACAGUUCCUUUCACCUGAUACCUCUGUUUACCUAGCAGAGGUACCCAACUCUUGUGGGUAACAUCCAGCAGUAGGUCAGUAGUUGGCCUAGAUGGACAUCAAGUAAGCCUAAGUAAAGUUUUCUUUCCCCCAACAAAUGAGAAAUAUAUGUCGAUUCGGUAAGAAAACUUACAGUCAUGCUUUAAACGGAAUUUUCAGUAUUGCUUAGUCAAAGUUAAUGAGCCAUGCUGCUGCUGUCCUUCUCUGGUGAUGUUCCCUUGUGUCUUGACAAGUUCUGCACCAUCAAAGACUCGUCACGAUAGGAGAAUUUGGCUGGGUUGACCCUUACAUUGUUACCAUCAUCAUCUGAAAUUUCCUCUUAAUUAUGCUGAAAUCACCAUAUGUCAUUGAUCUAUGUGGGUUUUCAAUUUAUAUGUUUCUCGUGCGCACUUGAGUAUAGGAGUUUUAAAGAUUUAGCAGUUUAAGGGUCAACAUGUUCUGAUGUUAUGAAGACUCAAUUAUUGUUCACUGAAUGGGAUUAUAACAAAGAACGUGACGGUGUUUAAAACUUCACUCAAAAAAAGCCGAUUUGAUUUAUGAAUAUGAACUUAUUCAUAAUAUUUUUUUAUGAAAAUCUCAGUUAGUAGAGUAUGGAAAAUUCAAAUGGUGCAAUUAUUACCAACAUGGAAUAGAAUUAAGAGGAGUUGAAGAUACUUGGACAACCACUCAGGAUCUCAAAACAAGAAGCUUGUCAAAGACUUUGUGAGAGAUACUCAAGUAACAUUUAUAGUAACCAAACAACAUUAAGGAAGAGAAAUUAUAUAAAAUUAAUAUUACUCAAAAGCACUCUCGCAGAGGGUUGCAGGACCCCCCCCCCCAUACACCAGCCCAGAGCAAACAUGGGCAAAACAACAACAUCCUCUGGCAAGGUUGUGACAACUACAGUUAUCUACAACAACAACAACAACAACAUUCUCUGGCAAGGUUGUGACAACUACAGUUAUCUACAACAACAACAACAACAACAUUCUCUGGCAAGGUUGUGACAACUACAGUUAUCUACAACAACAACAACAACAACAUUCUCUGGCAAGGUUGUGACAACUACAGUUAUCAACAACAACAACAACAACAACAACAUUCUCUGGCAAGGUUGUGACAACUACAGUUAUCAACAACAACAACAACAUCAUCUGGCAAGGUUGUGACAACUACAGUUAUCUACAACAACAACAACAACAUCAUCUGGCAAGGUUGUGACAACUACAGUUAUCUACAACAACAGCAACAACAACAUUCUCUGGCAAGGUUGUGACAACUACAGUUAUCUACAACAACAACAACAACAACAUUCUCUGGCAAGGUUGUGACAACUACAGUUAUCUACAACAACAACAACAACAUUCUCUGGCAAGGUUGUGACAACUACAGUUAUCAACAACAACAACAACAACAUCCUCUGGCAAGGUUGUGACAACUACAGUUAUCUACAACAACAGCAACAACAACAUUCUCUGGCAAGGUUGUGACAACUACAGUUAUCUACAACAACAACAUUCUCUGGCAAGGUUGUGACAACUACAGUUAUCUACAACAACAACAACAACAACAACAACAUCCUCUGGCAAGGUUGUGACAACUACAGUUAUCAACAACAACAACAACAACAUUCUCUGGCAAGGUUGUGACAACUACAGUUAUCUACAACAACAACAACAACAUUCUCUGGCAAGGUUGUGACAACUACAGUUAUCUACAACAACAACAA